UAUAAAAUCACUGAGAAGUGGAAAGGACCAUAUCGAGUCAUUUUAACAACCCUUAUAGCAGUAAAGGUCUGGGAGAAGAACCUUGGCUUCAUUAUUCAAGAAUAAAGAAAGCACCAACAAGAAACCGGAAGUCUAAAGAAACUGGCCCUUUAAAACUGAAAAUCUAUAAAAAUCUCCCUUGUGGCCUCGCUGGUGGACCUGGGUAAAUCGAAAAGAUGAUACCUGGCAAUGGCCAAGUCUUAGAACUAAAAUAAGAUGGGUAUUAAAAUCUGUAUUUUGACCCCAGUUAACAACUCUUCCAAAUCAGAUGACUCUUGACAUCUUUCAUUC